CCCGCAUACUUAAAAACUAUAUCUCAAACAGUAUAUACGAUUCAUCUACAGCUUCAGAAAAAGUGAUUUUUAGUGUAAACGUAGCUGUUCUAUUAAACUUUACUUCGACGAAAAAUUUGACCGAUAAAAACGAAACAUGAACCUUUAAGUGAAAAAGUGAUGGUAUCUGUAAAGGUGAUGGAAUGGUACAAACGAUUUCCUUAUUUUUUCCUGUAAUCGUAAAAAUUAUCUCGAACCGUUAACCUUACCGUUCAAACUUAAACUUCAAAAAUGAGCGAAACGCCGGUCAGAGAUGCCAGGGAGUUUUACAAAACAUCAGUGAGUAAUUAUGAGAAUAUCUCUUAUAUUUUUUUUAUUCUGAUACGACUCUAUAGAGUUUCGAAGAAAAUAUAAUUUAUCUUGGAGGUAUGCCCAUACAUCGUACUAAACGAGGUUUAGUUCACGCUUUCCACGAUGCGUUUAAAAUAGCUUUUAGUGAAAUUAAGCGAGUUAUUACGAGUGAUUCUUUGCAAAUCCAUUGUGCAGAUAAUUACAAUUUUAUUCAAUUGUUGAUCCCUAAAACAUUCUUAAAUUACUACCCAUAAUCAUCCUGAUCAGAUUAAAUAUUUACCUUUAAAUUUUGCAUCUCAAUAUCUAAACAAAUAUUGAUAAAACAUUGAACCUGGCACCACUGAUGUAGACUUUGUUUUGGUUGUCAAACGUGAAGAACGAAAAAAAUUGCGGUCCAGCAAAUUUGUGCGCUAUUUCGCCGGAUUCGCGCGGAUCGUAAUUUUCAACACAGUCCGGGAGACGGAACGAAGUUUAUUCAGCAAUCGCAAUGUUCUGUGAGCGGUUAUGCUACAUCUGCCGCUAGUUCCAGUCAGGGACUAGACCGAUCUUUGAAGCGGCUGAAAGAAGAUGUAAAACGCUCUGGAAGAACUUUACGCCGAGAUCUGAAAGAUGUUCCGGAGGAAAUCCGUAUUAACCGUUCCGCUUCCAGCGCUCAAUCUUGACUGGUUAUUCCUUGUUGCGGUCACCUAGUUCCAGAAGACCUUCCCGAGGUGCUCUGGUCCAGGAGUAAUGGGAAACAUUGAACAGCAUGAACGCAGCAAUGGACAUUUCCCACUACAACGCCCUUCUUCGGGUGUAUAUGGAUAAUGAGCAACGGAAUUUCUGGCGGAUUUGCAGGCCAAGGGCGUUGAACCGAAUCGCGUCACCUAUCAGCGAUUAAUUUCGCGCUACUGCCAAGAGGGAGCAAACAAGACUCUGGAAUUCCUGCGAGAGCUGCUUCCAGUAAUUGAAUGCGUUUUCAACGCUGAGCCAGGAUAAUUUGUUUUACGCUACGUAUCGAUAUAGAGCGGCGCGGAAAAACGACAUUCAAUAAAAUGUUGCAAUUAGAAAA